AGGCCGUCGGCGAGGAGCAACGAGGGCGCGGCCCGACUUGCCAACCCUGGUGCCCCCAGCCGCGGGGCUGCAGCGAGAGCAACUUCACAGCAUUGCCCAUCUGUUGUUAAAACGAUACAAAGCUUGCCUGCGUCACUGUUAUCUUGGCACAAGGCUGGUUGGAUGACUUAGAAGACUUUAUAAAUCGUUAGCGCAGAAAUGAACUUCUCUGGCAAAAUGGUGAACAGGUUUAGAGGCUGGACGUCAAAUAAGGUACUGCUGGAAAAGAGGCGGUACCGACAGAAACCAGUCACUUUAGAAUGGCCAUGGCUAACAACGGGAAUUAGAGAACUGGUUUUGGCACCCACCUUGGAUUCUAUAGCAGGAUUCCAACAUAAAGGUAAGCCUGGAUUUCUUUAACUAUGGUUUGAUGAAUAGCUUAUAGAGGCCUGGUUCAUACAUAACUCUAAGGCAUGAAAAUGAAUUCAUACAUUAUGCUAAAUAAAAAA